rnacentral:sRNA from 1 species
AAAAGAUUCUUUUCUCUUAGUAGAGAGAGAGAUUAGGAAUUACAGUAGAUAAUGGAAAGAGGCACAAGCUGUGCUGGCUUCUAUCCUGUAGCUUUUAGAAUGUUCUUUGUGGAAGGAAAGAAAGAAAACUUCCUGCUGUAAGAAUAAUGAUGCCCUAAGGAAAAAACAUCUGUUCUCCUGUCCAUUGCACUGUAUUUUAAAGAAAGCAGCUGUUAUCUGCUUUGAGUUAAAAGGCUGCUGUGGUGCCAUCUGCCCAGACCCUUAAAAUUACUGACUUUAGCUUUAGUGACUUUGAGCUGUCUGAUCUGGAAACAGCACUGUGUACAAUUCGGAUGUUUACUGACCUCAACCUUGUGCAGAACUUCCAGAUGAAACAUGAGGUUCUUUGCAGAUGGAUUUUAAGUGUUAAGAAGAAUUAUCGGAAGAAUGUUGCCUAUCAUAAUUGGAGACAUGCCUUUAAUACAGCUCAGUGCAUGUUUGCUGCUCUAAAAGCAGGCAAAAUUCAGAACAAGCUGACUGACCUGGAGAUACUUGCAUUGCUGAUUGCUGCACUAAGCCACGAUUUGG